rnacentral:rRNA from 1 species
AGAGCAUAGGGCGAAUGCCUUGGCAUCAAGAACCGAAGAAGGACGUGUCAAGCUGCGAUAAGCUGCGGGGAGUUGCAAGCAAACAUAGAACCGCAGAUUUCCGAAUGAGGGAACUCGGCGCCUGUAAUGGGGCGUCACCAUAUACUGAAUCCAUAGGUAUAUGGGGGGAACCCGGUGAACUGAAACAUCUAAGUAGCCGGAGGAAAAGAAAGCAAAAGCGAUUCUCAAAGUAGCGGCGAGCGAAAUGGGAAGAGGCCAAACCGGAAGUCUUCGGACGUCCGGGGUUGCGGACUGUCGGACGUGAUCUAGUGAGUGUAGCCGAAUAGCAUUGGAAAGUGCAGCCAAAGGGCGUAAAAGCCGCGUAGGCGAAACAUGAGCGAGCACAGACAGCACCAGAGUACCACGGGGCACGAGAAACCCAGUGGGAAGCCGGGAGGACCACCUUCCAAGCCUAAAUAUUCCUUGAUGACCGAUAGCGAAAUAGUACCGUGAGGGAAAGGUGAAAAGUACCCCGGGAGGGGAGUGAAAGAGUACCUGAAACCCUAUGCUUACAAGCAGUGGGAGGACGAUUAGAACGUCUGACCAUGUACUUUUUGUAGAACGGGCCAGCGAGUUAUGGUAUGUAGCGAGGUUAAGCUUUAAAGGAGCGGAGCCGCAGGGAAACCGAGUCUUAACAGGGCGGAUGAGUUGCAUGCUGUAGACCUGAAACCGGGCGACCUAUCCAUGGGCAGGUUGAAGCGGCGGUAAGACGCCGUGGAGGACCGAACCACACGUAUGUUGAAAAAUGCGGGGAUGACCUGUGGAUAGCGGAGAAAUUCCAAUCGAGCUCGGAGAUAGCUGGUUCUCCUCGAAAUAGCUUUAGGGCUAGCGUCAGGUGAAGAUAUAUGGGGGUAGAGCACUGAAUGGGCUAGGGGGCUUCACGGCUUACCGAACCUUAUCAAACUCCGAAUACCAUAUAUUACAUACCUGGCAGUCAGACAGUGGGAGAUAAGUUUCAUUGUCAAAAGGGAAAGAGCCCAGAUCAUCAACUAAGGCCCCCAAGUGCAAGUUAAGUGGAAAAGGAUGUGGGACUGCGAAGACAACUAGGAUGUUGGCUUAGAAGCAGCCACUCAUUGAAAGAGUGCGUAACAGCUCACUAGUCGAGUGGUCGUGCGCCGAAAAUGUCCGGGGCUAAAACUUGCCGCCGAAGUUAUGGGUGUAUCGUGAGUUACUGAUAUAUUUGAAAGACAGGGAAAAGAAAAGCCGAAGGGCGACGGGGUAUUCCCCUAGGGGAAGGUAUCCCUGCGGGAUGAAAUGAAAGCCUCCGGCGGCUUAGAACCUAAGGUUCUAAGAACUCCUCUAAAAAGAGGGGAGGGCAUUUGCAAGCAAACCAACCUUAGCGUAAGCUAAGAUAGUACGGUUUGCGUCCAAAUUCAUAAAGAUAAAACUGCCUGGAAGAGGUGGUGGGCCUGCGAAGCAGGCGGCGCGUGCCGGGAUUUACGGGCAGGGGAAAUGAGGAAUUGGGUAAAGCAAAUGAGGAAAGGGAAGCGCUGUCGGAAGAAAAGUCAGAUAUAUGAGUAAUUCACGAUACGCGGUAGAGGAGCGUCGCAACAGGGCAGAAGCCAUACCGUGAGGAGUGGUGGACUGGUUGCGAGUGAGAAUGCUGGCAUGAGUAGCGAGAGUGGUGUGAGAAUCGCCACCGUCGAAAGUCUAAGGUUUCCUGGGGAAGGCUCGUCCUCCCAGGGUAAGUCGGGACCUAAGCCGAGGACAAAAAUAGUCGUAGGCGAUGGACAACAGGUUGAUAUUCCUGUACUGCCUAAGAAGCGUUUGACUGAAGCAGUGACACAGGAGGAUAGUGAGAGCGGGCGAAUGGUAGAGCCCGUCCAAGCACCGAGGAUGGAGAGGUAGUGAAGUACGCCUUUUCAUAAGUCUGAGGUGUGAUGGGGACAGAAAAUAAGUAUGGAAGCUCAUGAAUUCACACUGGCGAGAAAAGCUGCUGGGAAGUUUCAAAGGUACCCGUACCGCAAACCGACACAGGUAGACGAGGAGAGAAUCCUAAGACGAUCGGGAGAAGCAUUGUUAAGGAACUCGGCAAAAUAACUCCGUAACUUCGGGAGAAGGAGUGCCAGCUUCGGCUGGCCGCAGUGAAUAGGCCCAAGCGACUGUUUAGCAAAAACACAGGUCUGUGCAAAAUCGAGAGAUGAAGUAUACGGGCUGACGCCUGCCCAGUGCUGGAAGGUUAAGGGGAACUGUUAGUCGUAAGGCAAAGCAGAGAACUUAAGCCCCAGUGAACGGCGGCCGUAACUAUAACGGUCCUAAGGUAGCGAAAUUCCUUGUCAGGUAAGUUCUGACCCGCACGAAUGGCGUAACGAUUUGGGCACUGUCUCAACAAUGUACCCGGCGAAAUUGUAGUAUGAGUGAAGAUGCUCAUUACCCGCGAUAGGACGGAAAGACCCCGUAGAGCUUUACUGUAACUUGGCAUUGGAUUUUGGUAUUGGAUGUACAGGAUAGGUGGGAGGCACAGAAGCGCAGACGCCAGUAGGCGUGGAGCCACCCUUGGGAUACCACCCUUCCAAUACUGGGGUUCUAACCAUAGGCCGUUAUCCGGCUAUGGGACAGUACCAGGUGGACAGUUUGACUGGGGCGGUCGCCUCCGAAAGAGUAACGGAGGCGCCCAAAGGUUUCCUCAGAAUGGUCGGAAAUCAUUCAUUAGAGUGCAAAUGCAUAAGGGAGCUUGACUGCGAGAGGGACACCUCGAGCAGGGACGAAAGUCGGGAUUAGUGAUCCGGCGGUAUGAGAGUGGAAUUGCCGUCGCUCAACGGAUAAAAGCUACCUCGGGGAUAACAGGCUUAUCUCCCCCAAGAGUCCACAUCGA